AAAAAUCUCUUAUCUAAUUAAUAUAAGUGUAUUUAAAUUAAUAAUGAAAAUAAUCUGAACUAUAUAAUGUAUAAGUAUUUAGUAAAGAAAAUAUAAAAAGGUGAUAAAUAAAUAGUACUGCUAAGGAAAGUUGAAAUAAUUGAAAAAUUUAAUUUUAUGAAAGUAUAAUUAAACAUUAGUACCUUGUGUUUCAGGGAAUUUAAAAAAUUAACUUUGAUAUUUAUUAAACAAUCCCGAAAUUUAGUGAGCUAGGUAAUAAUUGCAGUUAACGUAGUAUAGUUAUUGUUAAUUGUUUACUAGAAAUGAAAUUUUAUACGCACUAACAAGUAUCUGGUUUUGUAAUAAAUAAAUUAAAUUUAACCCUUAAGUUUAAAAUAUAUUUAAGGAGCAAGAAUUGGAGGGAAAAGCUUCUUAUUCAAUAAUAAAAAUAUUAUAAAUGAAAAAAAUAUAAAUUAUUUAAUUAGGCUUAAAAUCAGUCAAAUUUCAAAAUCGUUAUAGAUUAUGUAAAAUUUUAAUAAUAUUUAACAUCAUUUUAAUAAAUUAUUACAAAAUAAUUAAAAAUUAUAAAAUUUUAGAUACAAUUAAAUUAUUAGUACAAAUAAUUAGUAUUAUUAUCAUUAUCAAAUGUAAAUAACAAUGAUUUAUAAAAUCUAAAUUAUAUUAAGGAACUCGGCAAUUAUCCUUUCUGCCUGUUUAUCAAAAACAUGUCUAUAAGAAGUUUUUUAUAGUUCUGGCCUGCCCACUGAUAAUUUAAAUUAAAGGGCCGCGGUAUUUUGACCGUGCGAAGGUAGCAUAAUAAUUAGUCUCCUAAUUAGAGGCAUUGUAUGAAUGGUCGGACAAGAAUGGGAACUGUCUCAAUAUAAAAAAUAAAAUUUAAUAAUUAAGUAAAAAAGCUUAAAUUAAACAGAGUGACGAUAAGACCCUAUGAAAGCUUUAUGAGUGUGCUUCUUUUAUAUGUAAAAUGAAUUUAAUAUUAACAUAUUAAAGAAAUCACAUUAUUUUACUGGGGCGGUAAAAGUAUAAAUGAUUAACUGCUUUUGUUAUGCAAAACAAUGAUAAUUGGUAUGUAAAUUGAUCCAUUAAUAAUGAUUAUAAAAACAAGUUACUUUAGGGAUAACAGCGUAAUUUUUCUUGAGAGUCCUUAUCGAAAGAAAAGUUUGCGACCUCGAUGUUGAAUUAAGGGUUACCUUAAGGUGCAGCAGGUUUUAAAGGUAGAUCUGUUCGAUCUUUAAACCCUUACAUGAUUUGAGUUCAUCCCGAGCGUGAGCCAGGUUGGUUUCUAUCUUCUGUUAAAUUUAAACUUAUUUUAGUACGAAAGGAUUUGGUAAGUCAAAAACUUUGUUGUUAAUGAAUUAAAUUA
rnacentral:rRNA from 1 species